rnacentral:rRNA from 1 species
UUUUUAAAAAAUUAUUAAUUUUAUUUUAAUUAAAAUAAUCUUAAUAAAAUUUUUUUUAGUAAUUUUUAAAGAAACAAUAAUUUUUAUGAUAGUUAAUUAGUAUUGAAAAAUAAAUUUGAAAUAUUUUGAAAAUAAUAAAUAAUAAAAUAAAUUUUAAUUAAAUGUAUUUUGUGUUUCAAAGUAUAUUAAAUAAAAAUUUUUUAAAAAAUUUUUUCGAAUUUAUAUGAUUUAAUAAAUUAAAAAAUUUAAUAUGGUAUAAUUAUUUUUAAUAAUUUAUUAGAAAUUAAAAGUUAAUCGUAUAUAAAUAUAUCUAAUUUUUUAAGAAAUAAUUUUAAAUUAUUUAUUUUAAAUUAUAUAUUUUAUUUUAUAAAAAUAUAAUUUUAAAAUAAUUAUAUAAUAAGGGAUAAGCUUUAUUAUAAAUUUUUAAAAAUUAAUAAGUAUAAAAAUAUUUUUAGGCUUAAAAAUAGUUUAAAAUAAUAAAAAUGUUAUAAUUUAUUUUUAUGAGUAUAUUAUUUAUUAAAAUUUUAAUUAUAUAUUAAAAAAUUUAUUUUAAUAAAAAUUUUAAAAUUAUAAUGAUAUAAUUAGUAAUUAAAUAUUUAAAUCAUAAAUUUAUAUAUUAAAUUAAAUAAAAAGAAUUCGGCAAAAAUUAUAUUCACUUGUUUAUCAAAAACAUGUCUUUUUGAUUUUAUAUAAAGUUUGGCCUGCCCGGUGAAAUUUUUAACGGCCGCGGUAUUUUGACCGUGCAAAGGUAGCAUAAUCAUUUGUCUUUUAAUUAAAGGCUUGUAUGAAUGGUUGGAUGAGAUAUAAUCUAUUUUUAUUUAAUUAAAAAUGAAUUUUAAUUUUUAGUAAAAAUGCUAAAAUAAAAAAUAUAGACGAGAAGACCCUAUAAAUCUUUAUUAUUUUUUUUAUUAAUUUAUUAAUAGAAUAUUAAAUUUAUUAGUAUAAAAAUAAUUUUAUUGGGGUGAUAAUGAAAUUUAAUAAACUUUUAUUUUAUUUUAUAAAUAUAAUUAAUUUAAUGAUCCAUUUUUAAUGAUUAUAAAAUUAAGUUACUUUAGGGAUAACAGCGUAAUUAUUUUAAAGAGUUCAUAUCGAUAAAAUAGUUUGCGACCUCGAUGUUGAAUUAAGAGUAAGUUUAGGUGUAGAAGUUUAAAUUUUAAGUCUGUUCGACUUUUGAAUUCUUACAU